rnacentral:sRNA from 1 species
AGCUCGUGGACGCGGGUUCGAGUCCCGCCA